rnacentral:rRNA from 1 species
UACAGAGGCCACGAGCGUUAGGCGGAAUCACUGGGCUUAAAGCGUGUGUAGGUGGAUCGGUAAGUACCUUGUGGAAUCCCACGACUCAAUCGUGGAACUGCUUGGUAUACUGCCAGUCUUGAGGCACUCAGGGGCGAGCGGAACAGAUGGUGGAGCGGUGAAAUGCGUAGAUAUCAUCUGGAACGCCAAUGGUGAAGACAGCUCGCUGGGGGUGUUCUGACACUGAGACACGAAAGCCAGGGGAGCAAACGGG